rnacentral:rRNA from 1 species
CCUUACGACCAGGGCUACACACGUGCUACAAUGGCGCAUACAAAGAGAAGCGACCUCGCGAGAGCAAGCGGACCUCAUAAAGUGCGUCGUAGUCCGGAUUGGAGUCUGCAACUCGACUCCAUGAAGUUGUAA